UCCACGAGUUGUAAGAAAAUGGCAGACAAGCCAGACAUGGGGGACAUCGCCAGCUUUGAUAAGGCCAAGCUGAAGAAAACCGAGACGCAGGAGAAGAACACCCUGCCGACCAAAGAGACCAUUGAACAGGAAAAGAGGAGUGAAGUCUCCUAAAAAGCCUAGGAAGAUUUCCC